rnacentral:rRNA from 1 species
UACGUAGGGGGCGAGCGUUGUCCGGAUUUAUUGGGCGUAAAGAGCUCGUAGGCGGCUUGUUGCGUCGGCUGUGAAAACCCAUGGCUCAACCGUGGGCUUGCAGCCGAUACGGGCAGACUGGAGUACUGCAGGGGAGACUGGAAUUCCUGGUGUAGCGGUGGAAUGCGCAGAUAUCAGGAGGAACACCGGUGGCGAAGGCGGGUCUCUGGGCAGUAACUGACGCUGAGGAGCGAAAGCGUGGGGAGCGAACAGG